rnacentral:rRNA from 1 species
GACGAACGCUGGCGGCGCGCCUAACACAUGCAAGUCGAACGAGCGAGAGAGAGCUUGCUUUCUCGAGCGAGUGGCGAACGGGUGAGUAACGCGUGAGGAACCUGCCUCAAAGAGGGGGACAACAGUUGGAAACGACUGCUAAUACCGCAUAAGCCCACAGGUCGGCAUCGACCAGAGGGAAAAGGAGCAAUCCGCUUUGAGAUGGCCUCGCGUCCGAUUAGCUAGUUGGUGAGGUAACGGCCCACCAAGGCAACGAUCGGUAGCCGGACUGAGAGGUUGAACGGCCACAUUGGGACUGAGACACGGCCCAGACUCCUACGGGAGGCAGCAGUGGGGAAUAUUGCACAAUGGGGGAAACCCUGAUGCAGCGACGCCGCGUGGAGGAAGAAGGUCUUCGGAUUGUAAACUCCUGUUGUUGAGGAAGAUAAUGACGGUACUCAACAAGGAAGUGACGGCUAACUACGUGCCAGCAGCCGCGGUAAAACGUAGGUCACAAGCGUUGUCCGGAAUUACUGGGUGUAAAGGGAGCGCAGGCGGGAAGACAAGUUGGAAGUGAAAUCUAUGGGCUCAACCCAUAAACUGCUUUCAAAACUGUUUUUCUUGAGUAGUGCAGAGGUAGGCGGAAUUCCCGGUGUAGCGGUGGAAUGCGUAGAUAUCGGGAGGAACACCAGUGGCGAAGGCGGCCUACUGGGCACCAACUGACGCUGAGGCUCGAAAGUGUGGGUAGCAAACAGGAUUAGAUACCCUGGUAGUCCACACCGUAAACGAUGAUUACUAGGGGUUGGAGGAUUGACCCCUUCAGUGCCGCAGUUAACACAAUAAGUUAAUCCACCUGGGGAGUACGACCGCAAGGUUGAAACUCAAAGGAAUUGACGGGGGCCCGCACAAGCAGUGGAGUAUGUGGUUUAAUUCGACGCAACGCGAAGAACCUUACCAAGUCUUGACAUCCCUUGACGAACAUAGAAAUAUGUUUUCUCUUCGGAGCAAGGAGACAGGUGGUGCAUGGUUGUCGUCAGCUCGUGUCGUGAGAUGUUGGGUUAGGUCCCGCAACGAGCGCAACCCUUACUGUCAGUUACUACGCAAGAGGACUCUGGCAGGACUGCCGUUGACAAAACGGAGGAAGGUGGGGAUGACGUCAAAUCAUCAUGCCCUUUAUGACUUGGGCUACACACGUACUACAAUGGCGUUAAACAAAGAGAGGCAAGACCGCGAGGUGGAGCAAAACUCAGAAACAACGUCCCAGUUCGGACUGCAGGCUGCAACUCGCCUGCACGAAGUCGGAAUUGCUAGUAAUCGUGGAUCAGCAUGCCACGGUGAAUACGUUCCCGGGCCUUGUACU